AACGAACGCUGGCGGCAGGCUUAACACAUGCAAGUCGAGCGCCCCGCAAGGGGAGCGGCAGACGGGUGAGUAACGCAUGGGAAUCUACCCAUCUCUACGGAAUAACGCAUGGAAACGUGUGCUAAUACCGUAUACGUCCUUCGGGAGAAAGAUUUAUCGGAGAUGGAUGAGCCCGCGUUGGAUUAGCUAGUUGGUGGGGUAAAGGCCUACCAAGGCGACGAUCCAUAGCUGGUCUGAGAGGAUGAUCAGCCACACUGGGACUGAGACACGGCCCAGACUCCUACGGGAGGCAGCAGUGGGGAAUAUUGGACAAUGGGCGCAAGCCUGAUCCAGCCAUGCCGCGUGAGUGAUGAAGGCCCUAGGGUUGCAAAGCUCUUUCACCGGUGAAGAUGAUGACGGUAACCGGAGAAGAAGCCCCGGCUAACUUCGUGCCAGCCGCCGCAGUAACAC
rnacentral:rRNA from 1 species